rnacentral:rRNA from 1 species
UGCGUAGGCGGAAAUAUAAGUCAGUGGUGAAAUCUUGCAGCUUAACUGUAAAAUUGCCAUUGAUACUGUGUUUCUUGAGUACAGUUGAGGUAGGCGGAAUGUGUAAUGUAGCGGUGAAAUGCUUAGAUAUUACACAGAACACCGAUUGCGUAGGCAGCUUACUAAACUGUAACUGACGCUGAGGCACGAAAGCGUGGGGAGCGAACAGGAUUAGAUACCCUGGUAGUCC